GUAUUUCUUGGGGCAGACACGACCGAACAGCGCUCUCCAUAAACAGGUGGAAUUACCUCUGGGUCGGACAGGGCUAGCCAGCUGUAAUCCACCCUGCUACAGUGAUGCCCGCCUGCCUCCCGGCUUUUACGACCAAGAAUCGGAGCGCUGAUGUGAUGUUUCCCCGUCGACUGAUGAGGGAAGGAAGAGAAGGCAGCCACGACACGCGAUUGUUCAACAUGACAGUGAGACAGAAAAAUAAUG